GUAAGGCUCAGGCGUCGUGCAGAUCGGUCCCCGAUGGGCCCUGAGGCCCCUAUGGCCUGGCCCAAGGUGGCUGCGGCCACGUCGCCGCUGCAGAGCUGCAGGCCGCAGUGUAGAUGUUUAGGGAGCCACCUGGGACGCAGUGUGGGCACUUAAGGAGCCACUGGGCCACUCUGGUUGCUCAGAGAGCCACUAGGGUUGUGGUGUGAUCUGGGGAGUCCUUGAGCCGUGGUAUGGACACUUGGGAGCCGCUGGGCCGCGGCGUGGACACUUGGGAGAGCCGCGGCUGCGGUGUGGGCGCUUAGGAAGCCACUUGGCUGGUGGGUGGCGGGAUGCAACCCUCUAAGCCCAAGGGUUGCAGGGCUGGGUUCGAGGAUGCACUGCAUAGUGCAGCCGGGGUAGCGAGC
rnacentral:lncRNA from 1 species